rnacentral:rRNA from 1 species
CCUACGGGUGGCAGCAGUAGGGAAUAUUGCUCAAUGGGGGAAACCCUGAAGCAGCAACGCCGCGUGGAGGAUGAAGGUUUUCGGAUUGUAAACUCCUUUUGUUAGAGAAGAUAAUGACGGUAUCUAACGAAUAAGCACCGGAUAACUCCGUGCCAGCAGCCGUGGUAAUACGGAGGGUGCAAGCGUUACUCGGAAUCACUGGGCGUAAAGGGCGCGUAGGAGGGAUAGCAAGUCAGAUGUGAAAUCCUAUGGCUUAACCAUAGAACUGCAUUUGAAACUGUUAUUCUAGAGUAUGGGAGAGGUAGGUGGAAUGCUUGGUGUAGCGGUGAAAUCCGUAGAGAUCAAGCGGAAUACUCAUUGCGAAGGCGACCUGCUAGAACAUAACUGACGCUGAUGCGCGAAAGCGUGGGGAGCAAACAGGAUUAGAUACCCUUGUAGUC